UUGGAGGGCAAGUCUGGUGCCAGCAGCCGCGGUAAUUCCAGCUCCAAUAGCGUAUAUUAAAGUUGUUGCAGUUAAAAAGCUCGUAGUUGAACUUCGGGGUUUACCCAUUGGUCAGGCUUAAUUGUCUGUACUGGUGAGAUAAAUCUCUACCUUCUGAGGAACUUUCAUGUCAUUAAUUUGGUGUGAUUGGAAAUCAGGACUGUUACUUUGAAAAAAUUAGAGUGUUUAAAGCAGGCUAACGUCUGAAUACAUUAGCAUGGAAUAAUGAAAUAGGACGGAUUGAUUCUAUUUCGUUGGUUUCUAGGAUCACCGUAAUGAUUAAUAGGGAUAGUUGGGGGCAUUAGUAUUCAAUUGUCAGAGGUGAAAUUCUUGGAUUUAUUGAAGACUAACUACUGCGAAAGCAUUUGCCAAGGAUGUUUUCAUUAAUCAAGAACGAAAGUUAGGGGAUCGAAGACGAUCAGAUACCGUCGUAGUCUUAACCAUAAACUAUGCCGACUAGGGAUCGGACGAAGUUAAUUUUAUAAUGACGCGUUCGGCGCCUUACGGGAAAC
rnacentral:rRNA from 2 species